UCCUCACAGCUACAGUGACUCACAGCUUUUCCUGCCAGCCGACUUUUCUCCCUUUUUCUCUCCUGGCACUUCCACUCCAAAGACAAGAAGGAGGAACUGAGGUAUUUCCUGCCAUUGUGAGGGAUGAUGAGUAGAAGGAGGGAGGGGAAAAGGGAAAAGAAAACCGCUCUGAAAUGGGUCGGAUCGGACCAAAAUGAGGCAGAACGGGCCUGAAACCUCCCGCACGGCUCCGCCCGUUUUCAGUGUUGACGCAGAGUCUGUGGGAGAAGACGUGCUGAGCCCCGGCGGCUGUAACCAUCCUGGAAUGUCUCGCUGCUCAGUCCGGGAAUCUUCCACUUUAACGUCAAAGAUACGACUUCAGAACGAAGCAAUUUAACUCUAAAGCUUCUGAAAGUGUCUUUCCCUUAUCACAUAUACAGAGUUCCCAUAACUCUGUAGUGAUCCGCGCAGAUCAACCGCCAUCUUGGUAGGCAAGCGCAGCGCAAAACCUAGAUGAACCAUGGCUUCCAGACCAACAAAAAGAAAAUUUGGAUUUGGUUGCAGUGUGACGUCACGCCCCCAUCUCCCUGCUGGAGGGUAAAAAGCUGCUGGCUAACGAAGACUACCACUCCCUGACCCCCAUCUGAAUCAGGGCCACAUGUCUGCUUGUCCAGUUUGACUUACAUGCCUGCCCUGUUUGGGACCGGUUGGGGUGCUGCUGGAGCUGCGGGGAGUGGGUCCCAGCAGCCCCC